UACGUAGGUGGCAAGCGUUGUCCGGAUUUAUUGGUUAAAGGGUGCGUAGGCGGCCCUGUAAGUCAGUGCUGAAAUAUCCCAGCUUAACUAGGGAGGGUGGGCAUUGAUACUGCGGGGCUAGAGUACAGAUGAGGUAGGCGGAAUUGACGGUGUAGCGGUGAAAUGCUUAGAUAUCGUCAAGAACACCUAUAGCGAAGGCAGGCUUACUAGGCUGUAACUGACGCUGAGGCACGAAAAGUGUGGGGAUCAAACAGG
rnacentral:rRNA from 1 species